rnacentral:misc_RNA from 1 species
UCUCCGUAGGUGAACCUGCGGAGGGAUCAUUACAGAGUUCUUGCCCUUCGGGGUAGAUCUCCCACCCGUGUGUUUUAUACCUUUGUUGCUUUGGCAGGCCCGCCCCGGCCACUGGCUCCAGCUAGUGAGUGCCUUCCAGAGGACUCCCAACUCUGAAUUAAUUGUCGUCUGAGUACUAUAUAAUAGUUAAAACUUUCAACAACGGAUCUCUUGGUUCUGGCAUCGAUGAAGAACGCAGC